AGUCGAGCGAGAAGCGGGGCAACCCGUGAGUAAAGCGGCGUACGGGUGAGUAACACGUGGGUAAUCUACCUCCGAGUGGGGAAUAACCCUGGGAAACCGGGGCUAAUACCGCAUAAUCCUGGGAAGGGAAAGCAGCAAUGCGCUGGGAGAGGAGCCCGCGGCCGAUUAGCUAGUUGGUGAGGUAAAAGCUCACCAAGGCGUCGAUCAGUAGCCGGCCUGAGAGGGCACACGGCCACACUGGCACUGAAACACGGGCCAGACUCCUACGGGAGGCAGCAGUGGGGAAUCUUGCACAAUGGGGGCAACCCUGAUGCAGCGACGCCGCGUGAGCGAUGAAGCCCUUCGGGGUGUAAAGCUCUUUCGGCAGGGAAGAUAGUGACGGUACCUGCAGAAGCAGCUGCGGCUAACUACGUGCCAGCAGCCGCGGUAAUACGUAGGCAGCGAGCGUUGUUCGGAGUUACUGGGCGUAAAGGGUGCGUAGGCGGCCUAUUAAGUUUGUCGUGAAAUCUCCCGGCUCAACUGGGAGGGUGCGGCGAAUACUGAUGGGCUUGGAGUGUGGGAGAGGAGAGUGGAAUUCC
rnacentral:rRNA from 1 species